rnacentral:lncRNA from 1 species
GUCAGACAGCCAUGAGACCAUCUUAGGUCUGAAAUUAGGGUCUAAGAACGAUCAUCUACUGUAACCACAGCUCGAGAAACCAUGGAUAGCUGUUAAUCACGCUCUGGUCACAUGGCAGAUGAAGAGAAGUGGGCUUCCGUUCAAAAGGAAAACAACAGCUCGAGAAACCAUGGAUAGCUGUUAAUCACGCUCUGGUCACAUGGCAGAUGAAGAGAAGUGGGCUUCCGUUCAAAAGGAAAACAAAAAAAAUGAGAGAGUCUGUCAGACAGCCAUGAGACCAUCUUAGGCCUGAGAUUAAGGGUCUAAGAACGAUCAUCUACUGUAACCACAGCUCGAGAAACCAUGGAUAGCUGUUAAUCACGCUCUGGUCACAUGGCCAUGCUUCAUCAACCAGACUUGGAUUCCUGUCUCCUUAGAAUUCAAGGAUACAAUGGUACGAGCCUAUAGAACAGAUCCUGUUCAAGUAAGGUCGUGACCGUUGAUAGUGGAUAGAUUCUUAUAACGCUAGAGUUUAUGUGCUGCACUGCCGAUGUGGGAACAAUAUAUUGGCCCCUGACACACCUACGCCGACUACAACGCAAUAUCUCUAAGGCUAAAGUGCAAUUAAAGUAAUAAAAUUUAUGUCGUAUUUCAGUUUUUUAUUUGUUAUAGAAAAAAUAACAAUUACGCAUUAAUUUAUAUUUUUAACGUGUGGACAGUUAAUUUCGUAGAAACCGUUCCAAUUCCCAGUAGGAAAAACUCCAUAGCAGUUGCCAUGAACUCCAUAAUAAUUCACUUGUAAAGUUUCAUAGUUUCUCAUUCAAUUCAAUCUUCAGUAGAGUCUGAAAAUAAUGGCUCCAAUCAAAGUGACAGUAAGUAAUUCAGAGGAACGCCACACAAUGCUCUCAGAGUAUAUAAAAUCAAUAGCAUUCAAGAAACAACAGAUAACAAAAGUAUUCCAAAAGGGGGAUAAAAUUGAAGUGGCAAGUCAAGUAUAUGGCUUCGUAGGUUCUUACUACGAAGCAACUAUUGUUUCUUCAAUUGGCGCUUACCAUUACAAAAUCAAGUACAAGAAUCUGUUGACUGAUGAUGAAUCUGCACCACUGGAAGAGAUGUUCACUUCAGCCGCGAUCCGCCCUGUUCCGCCUCAUCGAGAUGAAACAAUGUCAGAAAACGGAUUCCGUCUGUACGAUAUGGUUGAUGUGUUUGCCAACGAUGGAUGGUGGUUUGGAUUUAUCAGUGGGAAAAUCGGAGAAGAGCACUAUGUCUACUUCCCUACAACUGCAGAUAACAUUGCAUACCCUCGCGAUGUAUUGAGAUUUCAUCAAGAAUGGUCUAAUGGCAAGUGGAUAUUUCUUCCAAGACCAUGAAAGAUUUUCGAUUUGCACUGAUCAUGAUUUACAGUAAUGUGAUAUGAAGUUACUGAAUCUUUCUCCUUUAUGUUAAGAAGAAUAAUUCAAGUUUAGUCCCAAAAGAUUUCUAUUGAGGAAAUAGUGGAUGAAAUAUUUUGUAGUUUAUAGUGAGAAACAAGAAUCUAUGAUUUGUUACUUUGUUUUUAGCCUUGAAUUGAGCUAGGGAUGCAUUUAUGCUCAAGAAUUUAGUUAUAAGGUACUCUCUAUCCCUAUUUAUUUGUCUAUAUUUCUUUUUAUAUAUGUCCAUAUUUACUUGUCCAUUUUAACAAAUCAAGAAAACACAACAAUUUUUUUCCUAAUAUGUCCUUAUUUAAUUCUAGAAAAUUUCUAGUACUACUAAGUUUUAAUAUGCUUUUUUGGAACCAGAAAAUAUAUUUAUUAUACUUGAGGAAUUGCAUAAUUUUUCAAAUUAAAGAUAAAAUUAUAAUGAACCUAUGAUAAUAAUUGAUGCCUUAAUGUGCGUGACAUUUCUAAAGUGAAUAACGAAAUAGGAACAGAGGGAAUAGUUCAUAAGCGAGUAUAACUAGCCCCUUAAUAUUAGUAGAUGCUGAAAAUUGUAUGCUUGGACCUGUUGAGAUACAUUGCAUGUCCUUUUGGUUCAUCUCAGCUAAAUAUUUGCUCGCUAUACUGACCUUGACCAACAUGAUAGUAUCAUCACUAUUUCUCUAACUCCGUUAAAAGUCGAGUAUCAUCACGAGCACGAGAACAAAAAGAAGAUGAGUCUGUCAGACAGCCAUGGGACCAUCCUGGGCCUGAAAUCAGAUCCAAGAACGAUCAUCUACUGCAACCAGAGCUGAGAAACCAUGGAUAGCUGUUAAUCACGCUCUGGUCACAUGGCCAUGCUUCAUCAACCAGACUUGAAUUCCUGUCUCCUUAGAAAUCAAGGAUACAAUGGUACGAGCCUAUAGAACAGAUCCUGUUCAAGUAAGGUCGUGUCAUGUGCUACUGGUAUGAAGCUUCAUAUAGCUACAGUUUAUGUGUUGCAGGGCCGAUAUGGGAACAAUAUGUUGGCCCAUGACACAGCUUCGCUGACUAUUUAUGCAAAUUCUAAGGCUCAAAUGCAAUAAAAUUUGUGUCAGAUUUCAGUUUUUGAUUCAUUAUUCAAAUAAUAAUAAUUAUUCACUAAUUUAUUUUAAUGUGUAGAUAAUUAUAUUAGUAGAAAUUAUUCCAAUUCUCAUAGAAAUCGAGGUUUUGUAUCAGAUUAAAAGUGAGACACAAGUAUCUUGUAUCUCAAAGAAGAAUAGAAAAAAAAGACAAGUGUCUCGUAUCUCUUAAUAUAAUUUUUUCUGCUUAUAAAAGAUAAUAUUAGCCCCUUUUCUACUUAUUACUAGAUCUCCUAUUAUAUUCAUAACUACUUAGGAUAAGCAUAAAUAAUUUUUAGUAACCAUAAGGAACUCCUAAUAACUAAAAGUAACGCUCAACGCUUCAUGGGUUAAACCUUCAAGAAUUUCAAAAGAUGCAUAUUAUUGUCUUCUCCUAUCUUUCUUCGCUUCUUCCUCCUCGAAUAAGUACGGUAGGCGCCUUAUCAAAUUCCCAGUGGGAAAAAUUCCAUCACAGUGUUUCCUCAUGUGCCAUAUUUCAAGUCCAUAAUAAAUUAUGAAAUAAAAAUAUAUAUAUAUAUAUAUAUAUUUAUAAAUUGGAAAUUGUCAUUAAAGGAAAACCAAAAGUAAAGAGGAAAACAAUACUCAUUUCUAAUUAGCGAAGGAAACAAGAAUUCUCUGCCUAUAAAUUUCACUUGUAAAGCCUCAUAGUUUCUCAUUCAAUUCGAUCUUCAGUAGAGUCUGAAAAUAAUGGCUCCAAUUAAAGUGACAGUAAUUAAUUCAGAGGAACGCCACACAAUGCUCUCAGAGUAUAUAAAAUCAAUAGUAUUCAAGAUAACAAAAGUAUUCCAAAAGGGCGAUGAAGUUGAAGUGGCAAGUCAAGUAUAUGGCUUCGUAGGUUCUUACUACCAUGCAACUAUUAUUUCUCCUGUUGGCGCUUGCCAUUACAAAAUCAAGUAUAAAAUUCUGUUGACUGAUGAUGAAUCCGCGCCACUUGAAGAGAUGUUCACUUCAGCCGCGAUCCGCCCUGUUCCACCUCAUCAAGAUGAAACAAUGUCAGAAAACGGAUUCCGUCUGUACGAUAUGGUUAAUGUGUUUGCCAACUAUGGAUGGUGGUUUGGAUUUAUCAGUGGGAAAAUUGAGCUAUAUAGGGAUGCAUUUAUGUUCUGUAGUAACAAAUUAAACGCCUAAAUUUGCUGCAGCUACCCGACAUUGAAACUUUCUUGAAAAUGGUGGAGAUUAGAUGGAUGUGCACCAGUAAUUCAAAACAUUGUGGUUUUGAAUAAGGUUGUAUGAGUAUUAUGUUUAUUACAUCGAAUCUUUUUUACUGUGAGACGUUCUGGUGAAUGUUAUGAAGAUUAUGAAUACAUGUUAAAUGUCCAGGAUACAUUCGUAAACUUUUGCUAAAUACGAGAAUUAUUCAGAUCAAUGUUAUAUAAAGCCUAUACUAAUAGAGUAUAACUAUAGUCCCCUAAACAUUCGUAGUUGCUGAGAAUUGUUGCACCUCGACGAGACAGCUUAUGUACUAGCUAAAUAGUGAAAAAAAUUGAGAGUCUGUCAGACAGCCAUGAGACCAUCUUAGGCCUGAGAUCAAGUCUAAAAACGAUCAUCUACUGCAUCCACAGCUCGAGGAGCUAAGGAAGGCUGUCAAUCACGCUCCAGUCACAUGGCCAUGCUUCAUCAACCAGACUUGAAUUCCUGUCUCCUUAGAAUUUAAGGAUACAAUGGUACGAGCCUAUAGAACAGAUCCUGUUCAAGUAAGGUCGUGACAUGUGCUACUGCUACGAAGCCUCAUAAACCUGGAGUUUAUGUGUUGACCUACCGAUGUGGGAAUAAUAUGUUGGCCCUUGACACAGCUUCGCUGACUAUUAUGCAAAUCUGCUCAAAUACAAUAAAAAUUUGUGUUAGAUUUUGAAGUUUUUGAUUCAUUAUACAAAAAAUAAUAAUUAUUCACUAAUUAAUUUUAAGGUGUAGACAAUUAUAUUCGUAGAAAUUAUUCCAAUUCUCAUAAAAACCGAGGUUUUAUAUCGGAUAAAAAUAACAGAAAAUACAUAGUGAGACACAAGUAUCUCGUAUCUCGAAGAAGAAGAGAGAAAAAAAAAAGACAAGUAUCUCUUAAAACAAUUUUUUCUGCUUAUUAAUAUUAGCCCUGUCCACUUAUUACUAGAUCUCUUAUUAUAUACAUAACUACUUUAUAACUAUUUAGGAUAAGCAUAAAUAACUUUUAGUAACCAUAACGAACUUCCAAAUAACUCCUAAUAAUUGUAAGUAACCAUGUUGAGAUUUUAUCAAGAAUGGUCAAAAUGGCAAAUGGAUAUUUCUUCCAAGAUAAUGAAAGAUUUUCAAUUUGCACUGAUAAUGAUUUACAGUAAUGUGACAUGAAGUUACUGAAUCUUUGUCCUUUAUGUUAAGAAGAAUAAUUCAAAGUUUAGUCCCAAUAGAUUUCUAUCGAGGAAAUAGUGGAUGAAACAUUUUGUACUUUAUAGUGAGAUUUGGAAAUCUUAUGGAAAAUAAUUUAUCGCGAAGCUCGUCGAGAAUUCUCGAAAGCUUGAGGCGUGUAAGGCAACAUUAAUAUUUGAAUUAGAAGUAAUGAUCAAUCCGUGGCAGUAAUGGUUUACUCAAAUUUUAGCAUUGUUGUAACAAAAGAUCAAGAUUUCCAAUUAGGUCUCGUUCUUUCUUUAGGAAAAGAAAAAGAAUUAUUGGUCCGAGCUUAUAAAGCAAAUUGUGUUCAAGUAAGAUUGUGCCUAUGGUCAGUGAAUAGACAAUUAUAACGUCAGAGCUUAUUUGUUGCGCACCCGAUGUGGGAGUAAAUAUUAGUAAUACAUUGGCAUGUCACACAAACUAUACAAUCUCCAAUUCUACAUUCGCCCAAGUGCGCUUCUCCUGCUACGACUACCCCUUCUUCUAUUUGAAAGGUAAAGGUCCACCAGAGAGAGGCUAGUGCUUUCAUGAAUAAAUGCGGUAAAAUCAUCAAUCUUUUCGUUACAUAUCGGGGACAGGAAACCAGCCCAACUAACUCGAUUUCCUAAAGAAAAGAGGGGGCGCUCUUCCAAUAUUGAGCUCCUAGCCCUACCUCUCUUUUUUCAAAAGUAUAUAGAAAUGGUAGGCACUGGGAGUGAGUGAACUACCUUGGGAGAAAAGGGCAACCUCUCAAUAGAAGGGAAGGGAAAGGGUUAUCCGCCCAUAAUGAUUGUAGAGUCUCUCGGGGUUGGAUCCUCCCCUUCUUACUCAGAAUAGCUAGCGAGAGGAAUACUAUUGAUUAUCUAUGAAAGAAGGCUUUUAAGAAUGGCUACAAAAUCAGUGAAAAUUUAUCAAUUAAAUAAGUAUUGUUGAAGAAAAAGUCACUCGACUUUUCUCAAAUAAAGAUAUUUUAGUAAACUAUACCUUUAGAAUUAUUUUUUCUAUAAUUAACUUGAAAAAAUGAAACUAAAGUUAUAAUUAUACUGGGGCGGAGGGAGUAAUUUGUUUUAAGGUGAAGACCAUCAAUUUCGUAUAAACCAUCCUAAUUCCCAGUAGCAAGAAUUCCAUGACAUUUUUCCGCGUUAGUAACUUAUAUGGUCACUUAACUAUAACAAAUUGCAAAAGUUACUAAUGAUUAUAAGAAUGAGAAAAAUUAGCAUAUCAUAAACCAUAAAGGAAGUAUUACAAAAUCAAACUUGAGGAGAUUAUAUAAUUAUAAACCAUAAAGGAAGUAUUACAAAAUCAAACUUGAGGAGAUUAUAUAAUUGUCUCUUUAGUUUUUUUGGUCAUAGUAACCUUUUAGUAAAACUAGUUGAAGUUAUGUUGAAUGACUUUUUGGUAAAAUCUAGUUUAAGUUACGUUGAACGAUUUUCUUUUGGUAAAACUAGUUUAAGUUAAUUAAGUUAAAUGAUUUUUUGGUAAAAUUAGUUUAAGUUACGUUGAACGAAUUUUUGGUAAAACUAGCUUGUUUAAGUCAUAUUGAACGACUUGUUUUGGUAAAACGAGUUUAAGUUACGUUGGAUGACUUUUUGGUGAAACUAGUAAUUUGAACGAUUAUUUGGUAAAACUAGUAUAAGUUGAAUGACUUCUUUUGGUAAAACUAGUAUAAGUUGAACGACUUCUUUGGUAAAACUAAUAUGAGUUAUGUUGAACGGGUUUUUGGUAAAACUAGUUUAACUUGAACGAUUUUUUUGCGAAAAAGAUUUUUUGAUAAGCCUAGUUUAAGUUGCAAAAUACUUUGGUGAAACUAUUAAGAGCCUGUUUGGCUCGGCUUAAAAGCUGGUUUAUGACUUAUUUAGCUGUUUGGCAAUACUCAAAACAGCUUAUUUUAAGUUAAAAAAAACUUAUUUUAAGCCAAAAGUUAAAAGCUGGGGUAGAGGUGCUUUUUUUUUUUUUAGCUUAUAAGCUGUUUUAAGUUGACCACAUUUUUAUCUUUUUGUGCUUAAUAUUUUUAUACAAUCUCCAAAUUACCCAUAUAACCCUAACAUUUCUUUCUUCCAUUUUUCCCUUUUCACGUUUGAUAUAACAACUUCAGCACUUUUAUCCAAACGCAUAACUGCUUAUUUUAAAAAUAAGUUUCAGCACUUUUAAAAGUACUUUUUAAAAGUACUUUUUUAAAGCUGCUUUUAUUAAGCCCAUCCAAACGGGCCCUAAAUUGAAAGAUUUUUUGAUAAGCCUAGUUUAAGUUGCACAAUAUUUUGGUGAAACUAGUAAUAAGUUGAACGAUUUUUUGAUAAAACUAGUAAGUUGAAAUAUUUUUUGAUAAAACAAGUAAGUAGAACGAUUUUUUUAUAAAACCAAUUAAAGUCAUACAAUUUUUUUUGUGAAAAAUUAAUAAGUUGGCCGCUUUUUUGAUAAAACCAGUUUAAGUUGAAUUUUUUUUCUUCAUAAAAUAGUAAGUUGACCGAUUUUUUGAUAAAAACAAGUAAGUUGAACGAUUUUUUGAUAAAACUAGAAAGUUUGACCAUAUGUUGGUAAACCUCGUAAGUUGAACGUUUUUUAAUUUGGUAAAACUAAUUUAAGUUGAAUGACUUUUUACUAAAACUCGUAAGUUUGACAUUUUUUAAAUUGGUAAAACUAAUUUAAAUUGAAUGACUUUUUACUAAAACUCGUAAGUUGAACGAUAGUUUGAUAAAACUAAAAAGUGUAAACUAUCAUAAAUGGAAAACAAAAGAAAAUAGGAAAAUAAUGCCCAUUAAUCACCAAAGGUAACAUAAUUCUCUGCCUAUAAAUUGACUUGCAAAGCCUCACUUUUCAUUCAAUUGAAUCAAUCUUCACUACUACUCUAAAAAUGGCCCUAACCAAUUCAUGGCAACUCCACCAAUCAAAAAUGGAAAAGCUCAUAAACGAAAUAGAUUCGAUAGUAAUGGAGACACAACAAAUAACAAAACAAUUCCAAAAGGGCGAUGAAGUUGAAGUGACAAGUCACAAACUAGGCUUCGUAGGUUCUUACUACGAAGCAACUAUUGUUUCUAUCGAGGACGCUAAUCAUUACAGAGUCAAGUACAAAACUCUGUUGACUGACGAUCAGUCUGCACCUCUAGAAGAGCUUGUCCCUAUAGGCCAUGUCCGCCCUGUUUCAUCUCAUCAACUUGGAACAACGUCAGAAAAUAGAUUUCGUCAAUACGAUAAGGUUGAUGUGUUUUCCAGUGAUGGAUGGUGGUUUGGAUUUAUUAGUGGGAUAAUUGAAGAAAAUUACUAUGUCCAUUUCCCUACAACUGGACAGGAAGUUGCAUAUCCUUCUCACGCGUUGAGAUUUCAUCAAGAAUGGUCUAAUGAUGAUUGGGAAGCCUGAAAUGACAAGGAAGGAUUUUCGAUUUAUGCUGAUCUUGAUUUCAUGAAAUUCUUGAUUAAUUUACCGUACUAAGAUAGGAAUGCAAUUCAUGUUUAGUUGCAUAUUGUUAUAUUGCUGAUUAAGAAUUUUCAUAGGCUAAACAUAUAUUUUCUAGCCUUACAUUGUGGUAUUUUAUGUUAUUAAAUUCUUUACAUUUUUGCUUUUCUAAGGUAGCUCGAAUUCAAACAUAAAUGUACACAAAUUCAUGAUAUUUUAAGAAUUUAAGCGUAAAAUUACUAGUCACUCCAAAAUGAUAAUGUAGAUCGACGCUAAGUGAUAUGAAAUAGUUCCAUCACAAUUUUUUUCACCUUGCAAUAGCUCAAGUACCUAAUAAAUUAGGAAAGUUAGAAAAUAAUUUAACAAAUAUAAAAAUAGGAAAUAACUCAUUCCAGGAAAAACCAAAAGAAAACAGGAAACAGUUUUCUCUGCCUUUAAAUUCAGUAGUAAAUCCUCAUAGUUUGUCAAUUUUUUCAUUGAAUUGAAGCAAACAAUCAAUCAGUUGAAUCUGCAAAAUGGCCUCAAUCAAUGUGACAGAAAUGAACUCAGUGCAACUCCAUCAAUCAAGAAUGGCGAUGCUCUCAGAGUCAAUCAAAUCGAUUGCAUUCAAGAAACAACAGAUAACGAAAGAAUACGAAAAGGGUGAUGAAGUUGAAGUGGCAAGUCAAGAAUUGGGCUUCAUAGGCUCUUACUACGCAGCAACUAUUAUUUGUUCCACUGGCGACGAUUACUACAGAAUCAAGUACAAGACUCUGUUGACAGAUGAUGAAUCUGAGCCACUAGAGGAUGUUUUCUCUGCAACCGAGCUCCGCCCUGUUCCACCUCAUCAACAUGAAAAAAUUCCAGAAAACGGAUUCCGUCUAUACGAUAUGGUUGAUGUAUUUGACAACGAUGGAUGGUGGUUUGGAUUUAUCAGUGCGAGAGUUGGAGAUGAGUACUAUGUCUACUUCCCUACAACUGCAGAUAACAUUGCAUAUCCUCCUCACGUGUUGAGAUCUCAUCAAGAAUGGUCUAAUGGCAAGUGGGUAUUUCUACCACGACAAUGAAAGAUUUUCGACUUGCACUGAUCUUUUGAUUUCAAGAAGUUAUUGAUUUACUGUAAUUUGAUAUGAACGCUUUGUUAAUCAUUCACUUUACGCCAAUUCUUCAAGUUAAGUCGCAAACUGUUAUAUUGCUCGCUGAUAAAAAUUUCGAUAGGCUGUAAUCUGUAUAGUGAGAAACGAGAACAUAUGAAUUUGUUACUCUGUUUUUGAGUUGAAUUGUGCUAUAUAAUAAGAUGCAUUACUUUUCGGUAAUAAUAAAAGUUACAAAAUUUCACUAGGAAAUGAACAAGGUAUUGCUAUUAAUGUCUUCGCGGUCUUCACAAGUUCCAAUUCUGCACCUGAAUCAGAAUUUCUUUAGAAAAAACUGGCAAUGAGUAAUGUCAACUUGGUGUAGUUCAAGAAAGGUGUAAUAUGCGUGUCUACUGAUUUAAACAUCACGAUUUAUAUGAAAAAUGAACUGAGACGUUUGGCAUUCAGCAUUGUUCCUCUUGUGUUCAAUUUUUAAAAAGGAAUUCACUUCUUAACAUGGAAAAAAUAAUGAAUCGUAAUAAUAAUGAUUAGUAUAAGGCAAUAAGUUGUUCUAUAAAAGAACAAUAAUGUAAUACCGCAUGCCUACGCUAUGUUUUUAUUAUUUGAAUAACCAUAUAAGUUAUUAACUCCAUUUUUUCUCCUGUUUCCAUAUUUCAAAGUCAUCAGGAAGUAAACAAUUAGGUAACUGAAAACCUAAUUUCAAGUUCUAUAAAUUGACUUGCAAAGCCUCAUAGUUCUCACUUUUCAUUCAAUAGAAACAAUCUCCAUUACUACUCUCAAAAAUGGCAAGAAUCAAAGUGACAGAAAGAAAUUCAGAGGAACGUAGCGAAUCGAGAACGGAAAUGCUCUCAGAGUAUAUAAAAUCAAUAGCAUUCAAGAAACAACAGAUAACAAAAGUAUUCCAAAAGGGGGAUAAAAUUGAAGUGGCAAGUCAAGUAUAUGGCUUCGUAGGUUCUUACUACGAAGCAACUAUUGUUUCUUCAAUUGGCGCUUACCAUUACAAAAUCAAGUACAAGAAUCUGUUGACUGAUGAUGAAUCUGCACCACUGGAAGAGAUGUUCACUUCAGCCGCGAUCCGCCCUGUUCCGCCUCAUCGAGAUGAAACAAUGUCAGAAAACGGAUUCCGUCUGUACGAUAUGGUUGAUGUGUUUGCCAACGAUGGAUGGUGGUUUGGAUUUAUCAGUGGGAAAAUCGGAGAAGAGCACUAUGUCUACUUCCCUACAACUGCAGAUAACAUUGCAUAUCCUCGCGAUGUACUGAGAUUUCAUCAAGAAUGGUCUAAUGGCAAAUGGAUAUUUCUUCCACGACAAGGAAAGAUUUUCGACUUGCAUUAAUCUUGAUUUACUGAAUAUACUGAAUCUUUCUCCUUUAUGUUAAAAGGAAUUUCAAGUUUAGUCCCAAAAAUUGCUUUGAUGAUAAAGAUUUGUACUUUACAGUGAGAAAUAAGAAUCUGUAAUUUGUUACUCUGUUUUAGCCCUGAAUUGUGCUCUAUAAUAAGAUGCAUUACUUUUCUUAAAGGUGUAAUACGUGUGUCUACUGGUCUAAACAUCCCGAUGAUUUUCAGCAAUCACAGGUGUGCUGAUCAAUCGGGUCAAGAUUCCAUCCAAUUUAAAUUUGUUUAAUGGGGUUAGAUAAUGGGUUAUAUUACGGGUUAAGACCCACCCAGCCUAAUUUUUUACUAAGUGUCAUUAUUUUAUUUGUCUUUUAAAUUAUUUUAGUACCUAAUGAAAUUAUAUUUUUCCUUUGUUAUUAAAAAACGAGUUAAUAACCCACCCAAACUUAAACGGUUUGUUUGGGUUUAAUUUUGCCACCUCUAGUUCUGUUUGAUGCACAAAUGCUAAAAUUUGAAACUAAUUAAUAUUACCUUUUGUUUAAAAAAAACUUUGUGAUGUAAUAAUAAAAUAAUUGAUUUUGGACCUAAUUUAACUCUAAAAACUCGUUUAUGAGGGAUAUUUGUUCAAGUCCAAAGAGAUCAUGCAUAUUUUUCUUAUUUCACCGACAAAACGGGUGACUUACCAGGAAGUAUAUGUAGAUAGGUUAUACUAUAUGUCUAUACGCCCCAUCAUCUAUCGAUCACAAGUCGCAACAUUUAUAAAAAACCUACUUAAUUAUACAAUAGUUCCAUUAAACGCUUAAUUAAUCAUUUUGAGUUCAAGUUAUAAUAUAUAUUGUCAGUUUGAUUAUUUUUUAAUAGUAUUAAGUUAUUAUUCUAAGGAUAAAUGACUAAAAAUUCAUUUAAUUUUCAAAGAACAUGGAGAUCGAAAAUCCAAACUAUACUCAUUUUAAGCUUGGGGUUAGUUACAUCUGAUAAUAUGACUCAAUGUCUCAAUUCGAAUACAUCCUUGUAUUUUAAUCUUUUAACAAUGUCAUAUUCAUCAAAAUAAACACUAUAUUAUAUACAAUUUAAUAUUAUACAUUAUGAAACAACCCAAAACAAAAUCGACAAGAAAGGAAGAAACAAAAUGCAAAGUUUAAUUUAUUAGGAAAUUAAAUGCCUUCAUAUCACCAAAGGGCACUCCUUAUUAUAGACACUUAUUAAUUUGAUAAAGUGAAAUUAGAACGAUUGAAUAUGUUUUAACGACCUUCCAGAAUUUCUUUCUUAAAAUUGAACACAAGAGGGGCACCGUUAAGCCCUAAACGCCUCUGACCAUUGACCAUAACAACUCCAACAUCUUUACAAAUAACUUUACAGUAAACAAAUUUAUAACCCUGCCCAUACUUCUCAAUCCUGAACCAAUUUCUUCUAACCUUAGGACCAACAUUAACAAAAAACCUCCCUCCAUCAUAUUUCUCUAGUUGCCACAUUGUCGAAUUAAGACAAUCGUAGGUACUAUAAAUUGCAAUUUUUAGAUCAGUGGACACGCGAAUUACACCUUUCUUUUUAUUGACCGGGAUUAAUUCUAGGCCGUGGCCGUGUGGUUCAACGUAACGUUUUUGUAUGACACUAAGUUGACAUGUACUAUUGUUGCCUGUGGUUUCCACGGCAACGCCACCAUAUUUUUCGCCGUUGAUUGGAACUAUAAAAUAUGUUUUUUCAGUUCGCAGAAUUUUACCAGUUGUGUCAAGAACUGGAUUAGGCGCUGAAGAUGCUUCACAAAGACAAGAAUUUGUGAAGAUGGCAAAAAUAGAGAUAAAUUGGAAUAUGAAUAAUUUCUUCAUUUUCUCAAACUUUUGUACUAUGAUUGGUUUUUAUUUUAAUUUCUUGGUGGUGGAGAAUUUUGUAUGGACAUUUAAAGGUGUGAAUUGUGUUCUUUUAUAAAGAAAAUAUAGCACAUUGGUUAUGGAUUUUUAUUUAAAACUUGGGCACGUACCUAAAUAGGUUGACGGACUUUGACAUUAAAUUAAAUAUUUUUGUGUGGCUUUUGUUUGUCACUUGGCGUGCAUGGUAUUUGAAAAUUUUUAGUCCAGUAAUUUUGAUCUUCAAUAAUCAAUAAUUAAAAGUACGGUAUAUAUAAUUUGGAAUUUGUGAUACUAUAAUAUCCGUGUUAUAGUUUGCUCGAUUUCAAAUUAUAUAUAAUUAUAUAAUAAAUAAUUAUGAAUUUGACUUUUAAUUAUGAAUUUGACUUUGUAUCAUAUUGACAUCUUAAAUAUGUAAAAAUAUAUGUUUAAAAAAGGUACAUGUAAUUCCUUUCAUUAAUCAAUUGCGCAAAAAAAAAAUUAAAAUAAAGUAGACAAAAUAUCAACGUCUAAAUUAUUCUGUUGAUACUAAUACUAAUUUAUGAAUUUAUUAGAAUCACAUUAAUUAAUAUAUAUGGGUUAUAUAUUUAAGUAUAUAUAUUUCGAUAAUAAAAUAAAAUUAAAACACGUAUCAAAAGUCAUGUCAAAUAUUAUAAUAUCUUGAUGAGGUGCAACAAAUUAGAAAAAUAUUUUGGGAGCAAAUAUAUAAGUAAUUAAUUAUUCUAAUUAUGAUUAGAGUUUUAUUAUAAUUAAUUAAAUAUUGGCCAUUAAUUUAGAAUUGUGACAUGUCUCCAAAUCAAGUAAGAAUAUGAGGAAAAUUAAGAGGAGCAGAUCUAAAUAAUUAGUAUCAUUUUUCUUCAUAAUUAGUGCUUUAACAAAUUAUACUUUUUCUGGUAGUAAAAUGUUUAACUACUAUUUAUUCCUUUAUAUGAUAUAUAGUUAUAAAUAAAGUUUUGGAAAAGAAUAUGAUAGAUUAGAGAGUAAAUAACACUAAGAAAUAAAGAAAAAGGCAAAAAUUACAACUAGAGUAAAUUUUCAAAAUGAUCAAUCCAAUUAAAAUCGUAUAGUAAAAUCAUCUAAUUUAUUUUUAUAUCAAUAAAGUCAUUCUAUUUAAAUUUUAUUCUUAUCGAAAUCUCGAAAAAGUAUGUUAUAUCACCAAAAAUCUGACAUGGAGCUUUUGCAAAACAAAGCACACACAAGUUUAUUAGCAAAGGGCAGCCUAUCCUUAUGGAAUUACUAUUUGAAUUAAGGACAAGUUAUUUUCUUCAUCAUUAGUACCAUUUUGGUAGAUUUUACUUAUUUGAGUAAUUUGUUCAAUUGCAUUAAUAUAUAGAUACUUGUGGUUUGAUUCUUUCUCGACCCUGUUCAUAACGAGAGCUUAGUGCACUUGACUGUCUUUUAAAUUUCAAGAAUUGAAUUCUCUUGAACAUCGUUGAGUGCUAAACGAUUUUGUUCAUUGAUGGGUCAUACUCCUCAAGUUGCCACACCGUCGAUUGACAACAUUUGUAUAUACUGAAAAUCGCAACAUUUGAAUCAGUCGAUAUACUUAUUGUACCUUUCUUUAUAUCCACCGGGAUAAAUUCAAACAAAUCACCAUUUUUGUCCUAUUUUUCUUUUACAAUGCCAAAUUGACAUGUCUCGUUAGAGACCGCCAUUUUCUCGAUUUGUUGGCACUAUGUAAUACGUUGUGUGUGUUCGGAGGAUUUUGCCAUUUGUGUGUCUAGCACUGGUUCAGGUGCGGUGGAUGCUUCACUAAGGGCCCGUUUGGAUGGGUUUAAUAAAAGCAGCUUUAAAAAAUUACUUUUGAAAGUGCUGAAACUUAUUUUUAAAAUAAGCAGUUAUGCGUUUGGAUAAAAGUGCUGAAGUUGUUAUGUCAAACGUGAAAAGGGAAAAAUAGAAGAAAGAGAUGUUAGGGUUAUAUGAGUAAUUUGGAGAUUGUAUAAAAAUAUUAAGGGAAAAAACAUAAAAAUGUGGUCAACUUAAAACAGCUUAUAAGCUAAAAAAAAAAAAGCACCCCUAUCCCAGCUUUUAACUUUUGGCUUAAAAUAAGUUUUUUUAAACUUAAAAUAAGCUAUUUUGAGUAUUGUCAAACAGUUAAAUAAGUCAAAAACCAGUUUUUAAGUCAGUUUGACCAGCUUUUAAGCUGAGCCAAACAGGCUCUAAGCCAAAUAUUGAUGAAGGUGGCAAGUAAUAAUAUUAGCAAUAGAUUCUUCAUUUUUUGAAAUUUUGUAUGUAGUGAUGUUUUUGUUUUGUGAAUUUUGCAUGGACAAUUAGAGAUGUACGUUAAAUGUGUGUUUAUAUAAAGAAAAUUGAACAUUGGAUGUGGAUUUUUUUUCUCAAUAUACUUCCUAAAUUAAUAGGUUGACAGUGUUUUAUUUUGUAUUCGAUAUCCGUAUUAAAGUCUAACUAAUUUAGAUUCAGGCCGCCUAUUUGAAAGUAGGCAGGUAGCACUCCUUAUCAAGGAUUUUCAUCAUGCACAAUACUUAAACCUGAGACCACUAAUUAAAGUUGGAGCUAGCAUGUAGUUUCAUCCACUUCUCCAUAUUCAUUAGUAAUAUAUAUUAAUUAUUUUUAUUUUUGGAAGUUUUUACUUUCUUUUUAAUCGAAUGAGCAAUUUUGAAAGUUUUAGCUUCUAAUUUUUAUUUGAUGGAUAAUAUUUCUUUUCUUUCUCUCUAAAUAUAAUAUGAAAUCCAAGAGGAUUCCAUUAAAAGAAAAAUCAUUUUUUAAUCAUCAUCUAAAUUGUAAUGGAUAGUGUAUAAAUAAAUCUGCAUAUUGUUUUUUAUCACUAGAAAAGGAAAAGGUGAAGAAAGGCAGGACAAGUUGUUAAUUUUAUACUUUGUCCUAAAUCAACUUUGUAUUUCAAAACGGUAUCAGAUGCCAAAAAAAAAAUAUAAAAUAAAAAAUAUAAAAAAAUUGGCUAUUUGAAUAUUGAUAGAUUAUGCAAAAUAUAUUGGCCAUCAUCACUUGUCGAGUAUGAAUUCAUGGAAACUAAUGAUGUCUGACUAUGAAUUUCAUUCAGAUCGAAAUCUCCCAGAAAAAUGAUGUGCGUUUAACAAAGUGUAGUAUUCAAAAUGUUUACGGUAAAAUAAUUAUUUAAAUUAUUACUUUUUUUCAAAAAUAUUAUUUUAACUAUUAAUUUUUUUUUUUGACCGUCAAACAUAUCAUUACUUCUUUUUAUAUUAAAAUAUAUGUUUUUAUACUGAGUUAUUUAUUUAUUCUUAAAUCAACAACACAUAUAUAGAUGAUCAACAUAACAUCGAGAUUCGAGGGUGUUUUAAUACCAUAAAUAGAUGAUAGUUAAAUGUGUUUUUUUAAUUCUUAUUUCUUUUAAUAGUUAAAUGUUAAUAGCCUUUUUGUAGUAUUCUACUAGCAAAUUGUGUGAUAAAGACAUUACUAUAUUAUAUGCAUCUUAUGUUACUUUUUUUAUAUAUAUAAUUAUAUCACUUUAUUAUAACUUUGAAAAUUUAAAUAGUAAUAUCUAGCUGGCUCCGAUCCAAUUUUAGCCUAUGGUUUCAAUAAUUUAAAUAUUAAAUACUGAGAAUUGGAUAAACAAUAUGCUUCCAUCUGUUAUCGUCUCUUCACCCUACGCAACAGGUAAACUAGGAGUACUAUAUAUACUUUUUAAAAAAUAUAAUAUUCUUAUAUAUAGUUCAUCAUCAUUAUAGUAAUUAAAUUGUCAGAUUAAUAAACUAAAAUCGCACCAAAUGCUUAGUAAAGAUCGCACAUACAUUGGUCUAUUUCCUUUAGAGUCCUUUUUCACCUUCCCAUGUAUAAUUUUCUUAAAUUAAAAUUUCAAAAUCAACUACUGUUUCACUUAAAAAGAAAUUUAAAUUUAUAAUACAUAUCAAGUUAAAUAAUAUUACAUAAAUUGAGACGAAAAACGUAUAUAUAUAGGGUGUAUAUAUAUAGGGUGAUAAUUUUAAAUUGUGGUUCUAACCUCGACUGACGCAUUCCAUUCCCAAAAUGAGUACUUAAUUAAUUAGGUGUUACGUGUAUUUCAGCAAUGAUGAAUGCCGCGUGGCUUGUCGGUGGCAAAUUUAUACUACUACUAUGAAAUUUACUACUUUAGCAUUGAAUUGGUCAAAUCAUUUAUAUACAUCUUCCCCGUCUAGUAUUAAAUAUUUAUAUUAAAGUUUGAUUAAAUCUAAAUUCAUAGUAUAUAGUAGUUUUUUAUUUAAGAAAAAACAUUGUCUAUGAAGGAUAUUUUUAUAUAUAAGGCUUGAACCCAAUAAAUUUAAUUAAUUAGAAGGAACAAACAUAUCCACCAGAUCACACUAUUUGAUAAUUUUUACAUAUUAUUUUAUUACGUCUUUUAUGAAAGAAAAUAACAAUCUCUUGAAAAAAAACAUAAAAUUAUAAUCAAUUUUUAAAAAAUCAAAAAAUAAGUUGACCCAAAAUAUUUAAAUAAGUUAAUUUUAAAACUUAUUUUGAAUAACUCUUAAAAAAAAAUACAAUCGAAGAAUAUGAAAAUAUUAUUUUAUUGCCACUACAAUUAUUAAAAUUUUAGCCCCACCAAUAUCGCACGCCUCCAUCUUACCAAAAAAAAAAAAUCGAGCGACGAUCCACCAACGUGCAAAAAAAUCACCACUUAUCUCUCUAUAAAUUGACAUCCACUUGCCGUAAAUACUCAUACCAAAUUCAAACUAACACAAGAAAAAAAAAAAAAACAUAAUGAAUACCCUUUUGUUACUAUUUUCACUUUCACUUUUUCCAUUUAUCUUAUGUGUGCCAAAUCCUUCAAGACUACUCUUAGCAUCAUCAUCAUCGUCUCCGGUUCUCGAUAUCAAUGGCGAUAAAGUUAAAGCAGGUCCCAACUACUUCAUUUUACCCGUUAUUCAAGGAAAAGGCGGCGGACUUUACCCAUCCAACGUUAAACAACACAAUAGUACUUGUCCUAGGGACAUUAUUCAAGAGACGGACGAUGUACAAGAAGGAUUGCCAGUAGUGUUUACACGUCUCGACGCGAAAAAAGGCGUCGUUCGUGUAUCUACUGAUGUUAAUGUGAGGUUUUUUACUCCGACUAUUUGUGCUAGAGAAACUAUUUGGAAACUUGGAGCGUAUGAUGACAAGUUGAAACAGUAUUUUGUUGUGACGGGUGGAGUUGAAGGUAACCCGGGUCCGAAAACCGUGGGUAAUUGGUUUAAGAUUGUGAAAUUCGGGUCGGGUUAUAAGUUUGUGUUUUGUCCAAGUGUGUGUAAGUUUUGUAAAGUUAUUUGUAAAGAUGUUGGGGUUUUUAUGAAGGAUGGGGUGAGGUUUUUGGCUCUUAGCGACACUCCAUUCGAAGUUAAGUUUAAGAAGACUUUUUGAUUUGUGUAAAAUUUUCUUUUUUAAAUUUGUACAAGUUUUAUGGUUAAUUUGAAAGAUUUAAUUUUUUAAUAAUAUUAUGUUUAUGAUAUAGGAUGUGACUAUUUUUUUUUUUAACUAGUAGCUAGUCUUUC